CCUACGGGAGGCAGCAGUGGGGAAUAUUGGGCAAUGGGCGCAAGCCUGACCCAGCAACGCCGCGUGAAGGAAGAAGGCUUUCGGGUUGUAAACUUCUUUUCUCAGGGACGAAGAAAGUGACGGUACCUGAGGAAUAAGCCACGGCUAACUACGUGCCAGCAGCCGCGGUAAUACGUAGGUGGCAAGCGUUAUCCGGAUUUAUUGGGUGUAAAGGGCGUGUAGGCGGGAGCGCAAGUCAGAUGUGAAAACUCAGGGCUCAACCCUGAGCCUGCAUUUGAAACUGUGUUUCUGGAGUGCCGGAGAGGUAGGCGGAAUUCCUAGUGUAGCGGUGAAAUGCGUAGAUAUUAGGAGGAACACCAGUGGCGAAGGCGGCCUACUGGACGGUGACUGACGCUGAGGCUCGAAAGCGUGGGGAGCAAACAGGAUUAGAUACCCGAGUAGUC
rnacentral:rRNA from 1 species